CUCCAGACUCCUACGGGAGGCAGCAGUGAGGAAUAUUGGUCAAUGGUCGGGAGACUGAACCAGCCAAGCCGCGUGAGGGAUGAAGGUACAGAGUAUCGUAAACCUCUUUUGUCAGGGAACAAAGGCGGGGACGCGUCCCCGGAUGAGUGUACCUGAAGAAAAAGCAUCGGCUAGCUCCGUGCCAGCAGCCGCGGUAAUACGGAGGAUGCGAGCGUUAUCCGGAUUCAUUGGGUUUAAAGGGUGCGCAGGCGGGCCUUUAAGCCGGCGGUGAAAUCGCGGGGCUCAACCUCGCUCCGCCGUUGAAACUGGCGUUCUUGAGUGGGCGAGAAGUAUGCGGAAUGCGUGGUGUAGCGGUGAAAUGCAUAGAUAUCGCGCAGAACUCCGAUUGCGAAGGCAGCAUGCCGGCUCCACACUGACGCUGAGGCACGAAAGCGUGGGUAUCGAACAGGAUUAGAUACCCCCGUAA
rnacentral:rRNA from 1 species